UGGCUCAGAACGACGCUGGCGGCAUGCCUAACACAUGCAAGUCGAACGAACCCUUCGGGGUGAGUGGCGCACGGGUGCGUAACGCGUGGGAACCUGCCCUUAGGUUCGGAAUAACAGUGAGAAAUCGCUGCUAAUACCGGAUAAUGUCUUCGGACCAAAGAUUUAUCGCCUUUGGAUGGGCCCGCGUUGGAUUAGCUAGUUGGUGGGGUAAAGGCUCACCAAGGCGACGAUCCAUAGCUGGUCUUAGAGGAUGAUCAGCCACACUGGGACUGAGACACGGCCCAGACUCCUACGGGAGGCAGCAGUGGGGAAUAUUGGACAAUGGGCGAAAGCCUGAUCCAGCAAUGCCGCGUGAGUGAUGAAGGCCUUAGGGUUGUAAAGCUCUUUUACCAGGGAUGAUAAUGACAGUACCUGGAGAAUAAGCUCCGGCUAACUCCGUG
rnacentral:rRNA from 1 species